GGAGGAGUGCCCGAGUGGUUUAAGGGAACAGUCUUGAAAACUGUCGUGCCUGAAAAGGUACCGUGAGUUCGAAUCUCACCUCCUCCG
rnacentral:tRNA from 1 species